rnacentral:rRNA from 1 species
CAGUAGCCACGGUAAUACGUAGGUGGCAAGCGUUGUCCGGAUUUAUUGGGCGUAAAGCGAGCGCAGGCGGUCAAUUAAGUCUGAUGUGAAAGCCCCCGGCUCAACCGGGGAGGGUCAUUGGAAACUGGUUGACUUGAGCGCAGAAGAGGAGAGUGGAAUUCCACGUGUAGCGGUGAAAUGCGUAGAGAUGUGGAGGAACACCAGUGGCGAAGGCGACUCUCUGGUCUGUAACUGACGCUGAGGAGCGAAAGCGUGGGAAGCGAACAGGAUUAGAUACCCCCGUAGUCCCUGUCUCUUAUAC